rnacentral:rRNA from 1 species
UGGGGAAUAUUGCACAAUGGGCGCAAGCCUGAUGCAGCCAUGCCGCGUGUGUGAAGAAGGCCUUCGGGUUGUAAAGCACUUUCAGCGAGGAGGAAGGUGGUGAGCUUAAUACGCUCAUCAAUUGACGUUACUCGCAGAAGAAGCACCGGCUAACUCCGUGCCAGCAGCCGCGGUAAUACGGAGGGUGCAAGCGUUAAUCGGAAUUACUGGGCGUAAAGCGCACGCAGGCGGUUUGUUAAGUCAGAUGUGAAAUCCCCGGGCUCAACCUGGGAACUGCAUUUGAAACUGGCAAGCUAGAGUCUCGUAGAGGGGGGUAGAAUUCCAGGUGUAGCGGUGAAAUGCGUAGAGAUCUGGAGGAAUACCGGUGGCGAAGGCGGCCCCCCUGGACGAAGACUGACGCUCAGGUGCGAAAGCGUGGGGCAGCAAACAGGAUUAGAUACCCUGGUAGUCCAGCGCUGUAAACGAUGUCGAUUUGGAGGUUGUGCCCUUGAGGCGUGGCUUCCGGAGCUAACGCGUUAAAUCGACCGCCCUGGGGGAGUACGGCCGCAAGGUU